rnacentral:rRNA from 1 species
GGAAUAUUGGACAAUGGGCGCAAGCCUGAUCCAGCCAUGCCGCGUGAGUGAUGAAGGCCCUAGGGUUGUAAAGCUCUUUCACCGGUGAAGAUAAUGACGGUAACCGGAGAAGAAGCCCCGGCUAACUUCGUGCCAGCAGCCGCGGUAAUACGAAGGGGGCUAGCGUUGUUCGGAAUUACUGGGCGUAAAGCGCACGUAGGCGGCUUUGUAAGUUAGAGGUGAAAGCCUGGAGCUCAACUCCAGAAUUGCCUUUAAGACUGCAUCGCUUGAAUCCAGGAGAGGUGAGUGGAAUUCCGAGUGUAGAGGUGAAAUUCGUAGAUAUUCGGAAGAACACCAGUGGCGAAGGCGGCUCACUAGACUGGUAUUGACGCUGAGGUGCGAAAGCGUGAGGAGCAAA